rnacentral:rRNA from 1 species
UACGGGGGGUGCGAGCGUUGUCCGGAAUCACUGGGCGUAAAGGGCGCGUAGGUGGUUUGAUAAGGGUGUGGUGAAAGUCCGGGGCUCAACCCCGGAUCUGCCGUGCCGACUGUCAAACUCGAGGACUGUAGAGGCAGACGGAAUUCCGGGUGUAGCGGUGGAAUGCGUAGAGAUCCGGAGGAAGACCGGUGGCGAAGGCGGUCUGCUGGGCAGUUUCUGACACUGAGGCGCGACGAGCGUGGG